UGGCUUCGCUGAUUCCUCCUUUCUGAAGAACUGUAAUGCCAUUAAUUUGGUGUUGCAGGGAAACAGGACUGUUACUUUGAAAAAAUUAGAGUCGUUUAAAGCAGGCUAAGGCUUGAAUACAUUAGCAUGGAAUAAUGAAAUAGGACGUUCGAUCCUAUUUUGUUGGUUUCUAGGAUUGACGUAAUGAUUAAUAGGGAUAGUUGGGGGCAUUAGUAUUCAAUUGUCAGAGGUGAAAUUCUUGGAUUUAUUGAAGACUAACUACUGCGAAAGCAUUUGCCAAGGAUGUUUUCAUUAAUCAAGAACGAAAGUUAGGGGAUCGAAGACGAUCAGAUACCGUCGUAGUCUUAACCAUAAACUAUGCCGACUAGGGAUCGGAUGAUGUUAAUUUUUUAAUGACUCAUUCGGCGCCUUACG
rnacentral:rRNA from 1 species